rnacentral:rRNA from 1 species
CCUACGGGAGGCAGCAGUAGGGAAUAUUGGUCAAUGGGGGAAACCCUGAAGCAGCAACGCCGCGUGGAGGAUGAAGGUUUUCGGAUUGUUAACUCCUUUUGUUAGAGAAGAUAAUGACGGUAUCUGACGAAUAAGCACCGGCUAACUCCGUGCCACCACCCGCGGUAAUACGGCGGGUGCAGGCGUUACUCGGAAUAACGGGGCGUAAAGAGGGCGUAGGCGGGGUAGCAAGUCAGAUGUGAAAUCCUAUGGCUUAACCAUAGGACUGAAUUUGAAACUGCUAUUCUAGAGUAGGGGAGAGGGAGGUGGAAUUCUUGGUGUAGGGGUAAAAUCCGUAGAGAUCGAGAGGAAUACUCAUUGCGAAGGCGACCUGCUAGAACAUAACUGACGCUGAUGCGCGAAAGCGUGGGGAGCAAACAGGAUUAGAUACCCGUGUAGUC